UACGUAGGGUGCGAGCGUUAAUCGGAAUUACUGGGAGUAAAGCGUGCGCAGGCGGUGAUGUAAGACAGAUGUGAAAUCCCCGGGCUCAACCUGGGAACUGCAUUUGUGACUGCAUCGCUGGAGUGCGGCAGAGGGGGAUGGAAUUCCGCGUGUAGCAGUGAAAUGCGUAGAUAUGCGGAGGAACACCGAUGGCGAAGGCAAUCCCCUGGGCCUGCACUGACGCUCAUGCACGAAAGCGUGGGGAGCAAACAGG
rnacentral:rRNA from 1 species